rnacentral:rRNA from 1 species
AUGGAGGACCUGACGUCCCUCGUCAACAAGCUGCAGCUUGCCUGCACCACUCUCGCCGACAACGACGUGGGGAGCGCCCUCCCCACUGACUGGGACGAGCUGCCCUUCAUCGCCGUCAUGGGAGGCCAGGGUUCCGGCAAGUCAUCACUGCUUGAGGCUAUUGUUGGAAAGGAUUUCCUACCCAGGGGUUCAGCCAUUGCCACCCGUCGCCCUUUGAUUGUGCAUCUAUUUAAAACUGAAGAAGGAACCAAAUAUGCAAAGUUCUUGCAUCAACCCGACAAAACGUAUGAAGAUUUUGCUGAAGUCAGUAUGGAGAUAGUUGAUGAAACUGACCGAGAAACCGGCUCUCCCUAUGGAAUAUCAUCUGUCCCCAUCCGUUUAAGCAUAUUUUCCCCAAACGUUGUGAAUCUGACUCUAAUUGAUCUUCCUGGGCUUACUAAAAUUGCUGUUGACGAUGGGUCAGUCAGUAUAGUUCAGGAAAUUGAAAACAUGGUUCGAGCAUUCAUCGAAAAGCCCAAUUGUAUCAUUCUCGCCAUUUCUUCAGCCGACCAGGAUCUUUCAAAUUCUGAAAUAGUCAAUAUUUCACGGGAAGUUGACCCAAAAGGUGAAAGAACCCUUGGUGUACUCACCAAAAUUGAUCUGAUGGAGAAUCGAGCAAGUGUUGUUAAUAUACUGGAAGGAAGAUCUUGCCGGUUCCACUUUCCAUGGGUUGGUGUUGUCAACCGAUCCCAGAAAGACAUUAACAUCAACAUGGACAUAAUUUCUGCCAGGUGUAGAGAGCGUGAAUAUUUUGGUAACACACCAGAAUACAAGCAUCUCGCUCAUAGAAUGGGAUCCGAACAUUUGAUCAGAAGUUUGGGAAAGCAUUUGGAAUCUUAUAUUAAAACAAGAGUAGGUGGUUAUCUGUUCACUAAAAGCUCCAUCAAAUCUACAGUGAUAAAGAAAAGCAUGCUGCAAAGCUAUACGCUCAGAGCCUAUGGUACAUUUCCCACGUACCACGUGCGUACGGAAGGCGAGCCACAUGACAUGUACUUUGAAUGCACAGUGCACGUGCAAAGCCACAAGUUCGUUUCAGCAACACGUCACCGCCGUCGCAAAGAUGCGGAGGAGGAUGCUUCGGAUGUUGCCUACACAGCAUUGAUGGGAAAUGAGACGCUAGAGACUUUACUUGGGUUGCUUAACAAGGAUACAAUAUGCAAGGUUGGACUUCUGCUACAAUAUGCAUGCAAGAAGAAGGUUGCAGACCCAGUGUAUGCGUCCUCCAAGGUGGCUGCAGGGAUCCAAAGGACACUCUGGCUUUCCACAGUUGUCUUGGAAGACAAGACUUAUAUUGGGGAGGUUGCAACUACUAAGCGUCUGUCAAUUCAGAAAGCUGCUUCCGCAGCCACGUCCUCAAUGCUUGAGGCCGGAGAUGACGUGAUGAUCAAGUUGCUUCUUGCCAAGAGGCUCAAGACCGAGGUGCCCAGGAGAAAGAGAGACCGAGGUGCCCAGGAAGAAGAUAGACUGUACUCCCUCCGGUCCUUUUUACUCCGUAUAUUAAAUUUGUGUCAAGUCAAACUGUACAAAGUUUGA